rfam:Rattus norvegicus chromosome 9, whole genome shotgun sequence.
GGAAUUUAGCUCAGUGGUAGAGCGCUUGCCUAAUAAGCAUAAGGCCCUGAGUUCAGUCCUCAGCUCCA